rnacentral:rRNA from 1 species
AACGAACGCUGGCGGCAGGCUUAACACAUGCAAGUCGAGCGCCCCGCAAGGGGAGCGGCAGACGGGUGAGUAACGCGUGGGAAUCUACCCAUCUCUACGGAAUAACUCAUGGAAACGUGUGCUAAUACCGUAUACGUCCUUCGGGAGAAAGAUUUAUCGGAGAUGGAUGAGCCCGCGUUGGAUUAGCUAGUUGGUGGGGUAAAGGCCUACCAAGGCGACGAUCCAUAGCUGGUCUGAGAGGAUGAUCAGCCACACUGGGACUGAGACACGGCCCAGACUCCUACGGGAGGCAGCAGUGGGGAAUAUUGGACAAUGGGCGCAAGCCUGAUCCAGCCAUGCCGCGUGAGUGAUGAAGGCCCUGGGGUUGUAAAGCUCUUUCACCGGUGAAGAUAAUGACGGUAACCGGAGAAGAAGCCCCGGCUAACUUCGUGCCAGCCGCCGCCGUAAGAC